AUUGAACGCUGGCGGCAGGCCUAACACAUGCAAGUCGAGCGAGCGGCGGACGGGUGAGUAAUGUAUGGGGACUGCCCGAUAGAGGGGGAUAAAUACUGGAAACGGUGGCUAAUACCGCAUACUAUCGGAUAACCCAUAUGGGAUUAGCUAGUAGGUGGGUUAAAGGCUAACCUAGGCGAGGAUCUCUAGCUGGUCUGAGAGGAUGAUCGGCCACACGGGGACUGGGACACGGCCCAGACUCCUACGGAGGCAGCAGUGGGGAAUAUUGCACAAUGGGGGCAAGCCUAAUGCAGCCAUGCGGCGGGUAUGAAGAGGGCCUUAGGGUUGAAAAGUACUUUCAGCGGGGAGGCGUUACCCGCAGAGGAAGCACCGGCUAACUCCGUGCCAGCAGCCGCGGUAAUAC
rnacentral:rRNA from 1 species